rnacentral:rRNA from 1 species
GACGAACGCUGGCGGCGUGCCUAACACAUGCAAGUCGAACGAGGUCCAUCCUUCGGGAGAAGACCUAGUGGCGAACGGGUGAGUAACACGUGAGGAACCUGCCCCGGAGACCGGGAUAACCACUCGAAAGAGUGGCUAAUACCGGAUGCCCCCAUCCUGCCGCAUGACGGGAUGAGGAAAUGGAUUCCGCUCCGGGAGGGCCUCGCGGCCUAUCAGCUAGUUGGUGAGGUAACGGCUCACCAAGGCAUCGACGGGUAGCUGGUCUGAGAGGACGAUCAGCCACACUGGGACUGAGACACGGCCCAGACUCCUGCGGGAGGCAGCAGUGGGGAAUCUUGCGCAAUGGGCGAAAGCCUGACGCAGCAACGCCGCGUGGGGGAUGAAGGCUCUCGGGUUGUAAACCCCUUUCAGCAGGGACGAAAAUGACGGUACCUGCAGAAGAAGCUCCGGCUAACUACGUGCCAGCCGCCGCCGUAAAAC